GACGAACGCUGGCGGCGUGCCUAACACAUGCAAGUCGAGCGGAGUUAUAGCAAUACAACUUAGCGGCGGACGGGUGAGUAACACGUGGGCAACCUGCCCUUCAGAGGGGGAUAGCCAACCGAAAGGUUGAUUAAUACCGCAUAACAACAAGUCAUCGCAUGGUGGUUUGUUCAAAGGAGAAAUCCGCUGAAGGAGGGGCCCGCGGCCCAUUAGCUAGUUGGUGAGGUAGAGGCUCACCAAGGCGACGAUGGGUAGCCGAUCUGAGAGGAUGAACGGCCACAUUGGAACUGAGACACGGUCCAGACUCCUACGGGAGGCAGCAGUGGGGAAUAUUGCGCAAUGGGGGAAACCCUGACGCAGCAACGCCGCGUGAAGGAUGAAGGCCUUCGGGUCGUAAACUUCUUUGAUCAGGGAUGAUAAUGACAGUACCUGAAAAACAAGCCACGGCUAACUACGUGCCAGCAGCCGCAGUAAAAC
rnacentral:rRNA from 1 species